GAACCUUCCAGGCAGGUGUGUUAGAGAAGGUAUGUAGGAAGUUGGCCACCAGGAACAGGACUGCUAUUGUUGUUUGUUGGGGCAGUACAUGAAUGACGCUGGGACACCAUCAUCUCCUCCUGGUGCGGCUCUGAGCUCAGGUGGCCAAUGGGACGAACGCAUCCAUCAUUACAGACAGUCUAUGGACCUCUAUGGCCCCUACAUGGAUUUUCAGAUAUAAAAAGCAUGACCUCCAGAACUACUUUGAUGCAUUCUCCUGUUUCCUGAGCCCAUUACAAUCCACUACAUAACCGCAGGGUGACAACAGAGCCCUGCCUGCCUGCUCAUCCAACUGUGCAUCAUCAGCACUAGUGUUACAGCUGAGCUAAAGUGAACUGAGCCCAGUCGGCACACAAACUCACACAUACGCACACACACACUUGUGCAGUGAUAUCAUAGCGGAGGCUGGUGGAAUGACACAGUUGUUGGGGUUGCACAAUUGCACUGGGCCAAACACAUAGCCCUGAGGGGCACCCUUCCCUGCAAGCAGAUGCCCUGGACGGAAUCACAGCAAUCAAUUGUACAGUAUGCUUACAUACAACACACACACUAAGAAUGUGACAUGCAUCUUCUUCCACUUAUCACACAGGAACUCCUGAAGGCACAUUUAGAGAUGAUGUAAUCCAGAUCCACACCUUUUCUCACGCACCACACAGUGUUUACAUGCACAUACUCUAGCUGCACACUCACACACAAGCGUUCAGGGGCUGGCCCCCCUCUCACCUGCACCUGCAUGAAGGAGCCCCUGUAGAAGCAGCAGGCAGCGGCUGACAGGGCACUCCACAGGCUGCAUCUCUCCGUCAUGGCUCCCGUCCUCCUUUCUUCAGCUCUUCCACCCCUGGAGUCCACUAGAAGCACCGGGUCAUGCCCCUAUCCCCUUGUGUUCACCAGAGCACAAACCACUGCCGCAACUGAUCAGUACUAUCACUGUUCCACCGGAGCCAGUGACAUCCCAGAUCUGCACCGGCUUCCUCUCUCUCUCUCUCUCUCUCUCUCUCAAAUC